GUGCUCGCUUUGGCAGCACGUAUAUUACAAUUGGGACGAUUCAGAGAUGAUUAGCAUGGCCCCUGCGCAAGGACAAAACACAAACUCAUGAAGUGUUACAUUUUUUU
rnacentral:snRNA from 1 species